rnacentral:rRNA from 1 species
UACAGAGGAUGCAAGCGUUAUCCGGAAUUAUUGGGCGUAAAGCGUCUGUAGGUGGCUUUUUAAGUCCGCCGUCAAAUCCCAGGGCUCAACUCUGGACAGGCGGUGGAAACGACCAAGCUGGAGUACGGUAGGGGCAGAGGGAAUUUCCAGUGGAGCGGUGAAAUGCGUAGAGAUCGGAAAGAACACCAACGGCGAAAGCACUCUGCUGGGCCGACACUGACACUGAGAGACGAAAGCUAGGGGAGCAAAUGGG